AUCAGACUAAGGACACUGGUAGGAAGAAGGGCAGAGUCAGAGGAGUUGCCAGCCAGACGCAGAGAGGAAACAGGAGGUGCAGGAUGAAAGAGAGGGGCCUGCCGAUUCCUUCCUUCCAGUGAUUUCUGAGGUUUCCUUGGUGAUGGCUCCAUAGACACUUGGCAGAUGUUUGCUGUGUACCAGGACUUAUGCUUGGGGACAAUUCUCAUCCUGCUUCCACUGACAAGGAGUGUCAUCAUCACUUCUGUGGUUGAUGCCUUCCUAAAAAGGCUGGCACAUCAGACAUUGCUGCCAUGUGCUGUGCUUCCAAACCCAGGGGUCCCCAUUGGUCCUGCGAUGCCAGUGCAUCCGCAGCACAGAUUUUGGAGAAUUCCUGCUUCCUUUGUCUUAAUUGCUACAGUUUGUCUCUGGGUUCUGGAAGGGUGUCCUCUUAGGAUGAGGUGUUAUUAAACUUUAGGAAAAAGCUCA